GCUCAAAUUUGAAAUCUGGCCCCUAGGGUCCGAAGUUGUAAUUUGUAGAGGAUGCUUUUGGUGAGGUGCCGCCCGAGUUCCCUGGAACGGGACGCCACAGAGGGUGAGAGCCCCGUCUGGCUGGCCACCGAGCCUCUGUAAAGCUCCUUCGACGAGUCGAGUAGUUUGGGAAUGCUGCUCAAAAUGGGAGGUAUAUGUCUUCUAAAGCUAAAUAUUGGCCAGAGACCGAUAGCGCACAAGUAGAGUGAUCGAAAGAUGAAAAGCACCUUGAAAAGAGGGUUAAACAGUACGUGAAAUUGUUGAAAGGGAAGCGCUUGUGACCAGACUUGGGCGCGGCGAAUCAUCCGGGGUUCUCUCCGGUGCACUUCGCCGUGUUCAGGCCAGCAUCAGUUCGGCGCGGGGGAAAAAGGCUUCGGGAACGUGGCUGCUCCGGCAGUGUUAUAGCCCGUUGCAUAAUACCCUGCGCUGGACUGAGGACCGCGCAUCUGCAAGGAUGCUGGCGUAAUGGUCACCA
rnacentral:rRNA from 1 species